rnacentral:lncRNA from 1 species
AUCAAUUAAAUCAUACCGGCUUUACAAGAAUUUAUCGCACUAAUUUGUUCGUUGAGCUCUAGACUAUUCUUGAUGUCGCCGUUGUCCGUUGAGUGUCUUCAAUCUUGAUUUCACUUGAUUCACUUGCAUAAAUAUUAUCCUUCAAAAACUAGUGAAAAUGUGAAAUACAAUAUUUAUUAAAUCACUCAAUACAUAUGUUUGUUAUCAUCAAAAUUACAUUAUGUAUAGCCCUUUAGGCUAACAGUCCUAUCCACAUGCAGAAACUUGUUGGCAACUGAGUUAUGCUUCCAUAUGAGCUACACUUUAAUCUCUACUCAGGUUCCCCUUCAACAUCUCCUUGCUCUAUUCCCCCCAGGUUUAGUAGGAAUUCAAAAAUGACUUGAGCUUUAGUAGCUGAGUGAGACCUUUUUUUUGCAUCCAUUAUAGCUUUACCGGGAUAGUAAAUAGGAUAUUGAAAUUUAGUGUCUUUGCAUCCGAGCAAAACUAAACUUGUGGCAUUCUCUGAGAUAGAUGAGCAAAUCAUCAGGAUAUCUCUUGACUUUUUCUUAUAGAAUAAUGGUGAAAGGAGAUUGGUAGAUGACUAGAGCUUGAUCUUCGCAUUGUAGUCUAAAGAAAACUUUAGAAAGCAUAUCUAGGGAGCUUAAUAUAGCUGGUGGUAUAAAUUACAUGAGCUUAUAAAUAGUAUACAAUCUAGGUAUCAAAACCAUCACAAUAAGUAGAAAAUACACAUAAAGAAUUAAAAAAAACACUUAAGAUUUUACGUCAAUCAGCCAUUUGGCCUAUAUCCACAAAAGUAACUCAUCUUUAAUCUACUAUUUAAAUGAAGUAUUACACGAUUUGCUUUAUAAUAUCAACAAAAUGUUAUUAAAGGCCUUUUAUAGUGAAUAAUAACAUGGGGGAGAUGUGAGUUUUAUAGAGAUUAGAGAAUUCUCUAAGGGAAGAAUAAGGAAAAAAUUGCUUUGAGAGGUAAUUUGGUUAAUAUUCUAUGGAGGUGUAAAAAUAUAGAAGAAACCCUAAAAAUAGAGGAAGAUGAUAAAGCAGCCUCUUAAGAAAUCAGAUCUAGAAAAAGACCUCAUUUUCCUUAUGUUUAAAGUUGAAUUUUCACUGGUCUAUCCUCCAUAAGUGGGAUUGUUUUUGUCUUUUCAUUUUAUUUACUUGAUGGUGACCAAAUAACCAUAAUGGAUACGUAAUCGCUUUAUCCCUCAUGUGGUCCUUGCUCUUCGCCAUGGUGGACGCUGGUGCAAUGGUCCUACUACUAUUUAAGAGACAGUUGAGGAAUGCUAACAUGUCAUUCUCUCAUUGUUAUGCUUAGUUGAUUAUUCUUCUAUUGGUCCAUUCCUUUUAACUUAAAAACAAAGAUACUUAUUCUUUUUCUAAUGGCAUGUUGCCCACUUACGUGAGGGCACCAAUCGUCAUAUUUGAAUUUCACUUUUACCCCUUUAGUUGGACAAAUUGGAUAGUUCUCGCCCAAUCCAGUUCAAAUCUAAUUGAAACAAAUAAAUUUAUAUUUAAGGAGAGCUUGUGCUAAGUUAAGUCGUAGGUGUGCUUUCUGAUGUUUGGGGUAGGUGGUUUAGUUGAGAUACCCUAGAUGGUGAGCCAAAGUAACAUAUAGGAAUUGAUUUAAGGAGUAACCCAAGUGUCUCACAGAAUACUUAGGGUAGUUGAGGCAGCUCAAGUAUACUUGAGGGAUAGCUCAUGUGUCUUAUCGAAAACUUAGUGUAAGUAAGGUAUGUUAAGUAUGCUCAUACGUGAAACUCAAUUAUGGCCGU